rnacentral:rRNA from 1 species
GGCGAACGGGUGAGUAACACGUGGGUGAUCUGCCUCGUACUCUGGGAUAAGCCUGGGAAACUGGGUCUAAUACCGGAUAUGACCACGAAUCGCAUGGUUUGUGGUGGAAAGAUUUAUCGGUGCGAGAUGGGCCCGCGGCCUAUCAGCUUGUUGGUGGGGUAAUGGCCUACCAAGGCGACGACGGGUAGCCGACCUGAGAGGGUGACCGGCCACACUGGGACUGAGACACGGCCCAGACUCCUACGGGAGGCAGCAGUGGGGAAUAUUGCACAAUGGGCGAAAGCCUGAUGCAGCGACGCCGCGUGAGGGAUGACGGCCUUCGGGUUGUAAACCUCUUUCGACAGGGACGAAGCGUAAGUGACGGUACCUGUAGAAGAAGCACCGGCCAACUACGUGCCAGCAGCCGCGGUAAUACGUAGGGUGCGAGCGUUGUCCGGAAUUACUGGGCGUAAAGAGCUUGUAGGCGGUUCGUCGCGUCGAUUGUGAAAACUUGCAGCUCAACUGCAAGCUUGCAGUCGAUACGGGCGGACUAGAGUACUUCAGGGGAGACUGGAAUUCCUGGUGUAGCGGUGAAAUGCGCAGAUAUCAGGAGGAACACCGGUGGCGAAGGCGGGUCUCUGGGAAGUAACUGACGCUGAGAAGCGAAAGCGUGGGUAGCGAACAGGAUUAGAUACCCUGGU